AUUGAACGCUGGCGGCAGGCCUAACACAUGCAAGUCGAACGGACCCUUCGGGGUUAGUGGCGGACGGGUGAGUAACACGUGGGAACGUGCCUUUAGGUUCGGAAUAGCUCCUGGAAACGGGUGGUAAUGCCGAAUGUGCCCUUCGGGGGAAAGAUUUAUCGCCUUUAGAGCGGCCCGCGUCUGAUUAGCUAGUUGGUGAGGUAAAGGCUCACCAAGGCGACGAUCAGUAGCUGGUCUGAGAGGAUGAUCAGCCACAUUGGGACUGAGACACGGCCCAAACUCCUACGGGAGGCAGCAGCGGGGAAUCUUGCGCAAUGGGCGAAAGCCUGACGCAGCCAUGCCGCGUGAAUGAUGAAGGUCUUAGGAUUGUAAAAUUCUUUCACCGGGGACGAUAAUGACGGUACCCGGAGAAGAAGCCCCGGCUAACUUCGUGCCAGCCGCCGCAGUAACAC
rnacentral:rRNA from 1 species